rnacentral:lncRNA from 7 species
AGACGAAGGAGCUACAGAGGGAAUGCACGAGCAGGAUGUAACCCAUCUAAUGAUGCAUCUUCAAUCAAAGGUUUGUCAUUUACUGAAGAGAAAGGUAAAACUGAGUAUCUGACAGUACAAAACAAUGGCUGGGUAACUUGAAUGCUCAAGGGAGCAGAUCCUUCCAUGUUUUCAGUUGGCAUGGGUCCACAGAACAGCUGUGCCAAUUACUUCCAGUUGAGGACUACCACUGGGUGUAUAGCUGCUUGUACUGAAGUUGUUGCAAUUACUAUCAUUAUGUUAUUUCUUGGCAAGGAAAGGAGAAAGAUAAGUGAGUGUCUGGGGUGCUUUGUUUAACUGCGGUGGGCCACUUACUCAUGCCAACCACCGAGAGCUACUAGGAAGCAAGCACAGCGAGAAGUGAACUUCUUGGAAAUUUCAGAUUUAACACGGUAAGGAGACAAAGGGCCUUCUUAAUGAAACCUAAUAUACUUUAGGUCUGCCAGUUCCUUCAGAAAGGGAAAGCAUUUUUCAAUGUGUUAGAUUACUGCCGCACUACCUAUUAUGUGCUUGCUUUUAUGCAGCUGACAGAGAUCUUUACCACUGCUUUGACCUGCAGGAGCUACUCGUGUUAAUGCCAGCACCGAGGAAAACUAUCGCGUGGUUUACCUCCACCUGAGGAACCAUCUUGAUGACUUGCUCCAAAUGGUACACAACUAUUCACACACCUAUGAUCACAGUGCUGCGAAGGGAAGUCUUUAGACAAAAUGAAGAGUGGGCUGGAAGCUUCAGAUGGCAGCUAGGGGUGUGAAGGACUUCAGUGUCUUGUUGCUCGGCAUGCACAGCUGUGAGAGCCCUCUCACAUCAGGAAAGCUUCAGGGCCUCCUUCUAGCAAACCAACUGCCCCCAGUGCUCAGACAAACAUUGCAUUGCAUCUGGUCUGGAUGUUGCAUUGCAGCCAGUUCAACACAGCAUGUAUUGUGAAGAUGAUGUUUUCCUUUUUUUCCUCUUUUUGUACAGCAAAGCUUCAGCAGUUCCUGGCUGCAGCACGGAGGUACUGAACAGUUCUCUGCAAUGCUCUGGGGCUCAGACCAAGCGUAGGGCAGCGCCACCAUCAGCAGGAGGGCCCCGUCCUACUCUGGCUUUGCCAAUGAAAUACGGAGAGAACCCUUUCAUACUUAAUGUAUGUGUUUUACUCAUUAAAGAGUGCAAUUUGUGACAGUG